rnacentral:rRNA from 1 species
CUGGCGGCGUGCUUAACACAUGCAAGUCGAGCGAUGAAGCUCCUUCGGGAGUGGAUUAGCGGCGGACGGGUGAGUAACACGUGGGCAACCUGCCUCAUAGAGGGGAAUAGCCUUUCGAAAGGAAGAUUAAUACCGCAUAAGAUUGUAGUACCGCAUGGUACAGCAAUUAAAGGAGUAAUCCGCUAUGAGAUGGACCCGCGUCGCAUUAGCUAGUUGGUGAGGUAACGGCUCACCAAGGCGACGAUGCGUAGCCGACCUGAGAGGGUGAUCGGCCACAUUGGGACUGAGACACGGCCCAGACUCCUACGGGAGGCAGCAGUGGGGGAUAUUGCACAAUGGGGGAAACCCUGAAUGCAGCAACGCCGCGUGAGUGAUGACGGCCUUCGGGUUGUAAAACUCUGUCUUUGGGGACGAUAAUGACGGUACCCAAGGAGGAAGCCACGGCUAACUACGUGCCAGCCGCCGC